UAUGCAUAUCGACUUACUUGUGCCUAAAAGCAGGACAACGAUAUUUUUUAAAAAAUCAAAUAUGCCUUUGGAUAUUUUACGGGCUUCUCUCAUACGACCAAACAAAGAAUCAUAGGACGGUGGUGGUGCUGAAAAAAUUACAGAGAUAGACAUACUUGAUUCAUACAUACAUGGACUGAAUGUCUCAAAGGUGCAUUUGGAAAGACUUUACGACGAUCGGAUGAACAACAAGGGCAAAUCGAUGGACAGAGCAAUGUAAGUGACGUUUCCGAAUGUAGCCAUAAAUAUGCACACACUAUAAAGGUCUGCGGUAACGUACCAUUAGGAUCUAUCGCCUCCUCGUAUGAGGGUGGUGCACCACGUUCGUUGGUCAACGUGGAGGGAUGGCCGAGAGAUCUGAGGAUACCAGCGUAUAAUCACCCUGUCGCUGUUUACAUUAGCGAAUACCAGCCUUUAUAACCUAAAAACCGC